GGUUUUGAGCUCAGCAUUGCUCUUGAUGAUCAAGGAAAAGAUCUCAGCCACUACUUGGGUCCUUAUACUUGCAAUUAAAAGGUAUCUAUUACUCCCAAAGGGUAGGGUUAAAAACGUGUAAUAUAGUCGUUAUUGGAGGAAGAAGCUUCGAUGCAAUGUGUGCAUUUUGACAAAUACAUCCAUUUCGUUUGAGCUAAGACGGAGUUCUUUUUCUGGCUUCUCUUUGGUCCUAUGCCCUUCGCUUGUUGAUGUAGAACAACUAGUCCAAGAAUUUACGCAAAUGCGCAAUAGACCAUAGCAAGGCUGAAAGUCUUAAUAAAAUGCAUUCGAGUUUUGAUUUGUUAUAUUUCAUAUAAUAAAUAAUAAUGUUACUUCUUAGUUUUUGUUUAUAGUUGAUUUUUUGGUAUGUUGUGGAAGUCCUACAUCAGAAGGAUAUAAGUUAAGAAUAGUUUAGGUGCUUCAUAAAUAAAAUAAGCACCCUCUUCAUGUAGUAACUUCAGUUUCAGGUUAAUAAAGUUUGUUAUUUUUCUUAUUUUCUGGUUGAUAUUUUUAGAACAUUUAAUUUUGUGUCUUCUACCCUUCUAUUCAUUUGAGUUUCUCUUCUAGGGGUCUGU
rnacentral:lncRNA from 1 species